GAUGAACGCUGGCGGCGUGCCUAAUACAUGCAAGUCGAACGCGAGCACUUGUGCUCGAGUGGCGAACGGGUGAGUAAUACAUAAGUAACCUGCCCUAGACAGGGGGAUAACUAUUGGAAACGAUAGCUAAGACCGCAUAGGUACGGACACUGCAUGGUGACCGUAUUAAAAGUGCCUCAAAGCACUGGUAGAGGAUGGACUUAUGGCGCAUUAGCUAGUUGGCGGGGCAACGGCCCACCAAGGCGACGAUGCGUAGGGGUUCUGAGAGGAAGGUCCCCCACACUGGUACUGAGACACGGACCAG
rnacentral:rRNA from 1 species